AAGUCGUAACAAGGUUUCCGUAGGUGAACCUGCGGAAGGAUCAUUAACACUUAUCCAAGUAUCAACCCCGUGCUCUUUGUUCAUUGAGAAUGCACAAGUGUUUCGUUCAGGGCGGGAGGGAAUUCGUUCUUUUCCUUCUUCUGGCGAACUCUUUUAAGUUCUCACUUGUUUCUUUACUUUAUCUUUUUAACCCUUUGUACCUUUUUUUACUGAAAUUGAUUCUACUCCUAACGGAGGGAAUUAUAUUACGAAACGCUUGACAACUCUUAACAACGGAUAUCUUGGUUCUC
rnacentral:misc_RNA from 1 species